UCUCUCCGUACGGGAAGGAUGAGAAGCUUCGACUAAGGUUCGAUUCGAGCGCAGCGAGAAAGCGUUGCCGCAGGCAACGACCCGAAGGGCGAAGCGCGCAGCGCUGAGUAAUCCUUCCCCCACCACCA
rnacentral:sRNA from 1 species